AGAGUUUGAUCCUGGCUCAGAGCGAACGCUGGCGGCAGGCCUAACACAUGCAAGUCGAGCGGGCAUCGCAAGAUGUCAGCGGCAGACGGGAGAGUAACACGUGGGAACAUGCCCUUCGGUUCGGAAUAACUCAGGGAAACUUGAGCUAAUACCGGAUACGUCCGUAAGGAGAAAGAUUUAUCGCCGAAGGAUUGGCCCGCGUCCGAUUAGCUAGUUGGUGAGGUAACGGCUCACCAAGGCGACGAUCGGUAGCUGGUCUGAGAGGAUGAUCAGCCUCACUGGGACUGAGACACGGCCCAGACUCCUACGGGAGGCAGCAGUGGGGAAUAUUGGACAAUGGGCGCAAGCCUGAUCCAGCCAUGCCGCGUGGGUGAUGAAGGCCCUAGGGUUGUAAAGCCCUUUCGGCGGGGAAGAUAAUGACGGUACCCGCAGAAGAAGCCCCGGCUAACUUCGUGCCAGCAGCCGCGGUAAUACGAAGGGGGCUAGCGUUGCUCGGAAUC
rnacentral:rRNA from 1 species